CUCUGCGGCCUUUGGUGUAUGCGCCCAAGGCGCCAUAGGCCAGGUGGCGCAGAAACGGGGCAGGAAGAUGGAAAUGGGAUGAAGGAGCGUCGCCGGCAUGCUCGGCCCCGAGCAGCAUCGCCGGUGCAGCUUUCCACUCGCGACGGGGCUCUGUAGCGCCAGAGGUGCCCGUACAGCGUCACGUCACGCGCGCGCCGGCCUCGGCACUCUCCACCUGAAGUGCGUCCGGACACCCGCCUGCCGGCCCGGCGCAGCGGGCCAGGACCAGGCUCCCCGGCAAGGAAGGAGGUGCCCCAAGACCAGAGACGCGGACACCCUUGCCUCGGGUCACCCGUGCGGGUGGCUGGCGGGACAUAGGCUGCUCGUACGGCGUAAGCUGCUUCUGGUGCGAUGCAAGGAGUUGUCACCUUGGAUCUCUCGUGGGGACAGAGACCGGUGCGUCUUCACAGAAGGUGCUCGCUGGAUUCCGCUUCUGGGUGCAACCAUAUCAAAAGUAGAGAAACACUGAAGAAAGUCGAGGAACCAUGUACGAUGGGGCUGAAAGAAACCUUGAGACAUCAUCCCCCCGAGAAGGAGAAGAGCAACUUUAUCAAGAGGGAGAAGGAAAGAUUAAAACUUCAAUACAUAGAAACUGGAUAAACGAAGGAUAAUCAAGUUUGAGAGGAAGAAGCCCUUUUCAGAUAUCGGCCACCUGUUACUGGAGCUGAGAGAGGAGGAACAUGUGGUUUGACAGAUAUGCUUCCCUGACGAGAAAAGGCAAGCUGUUUAGUGAAUGAAGAUUUCUUCAUUUUGCAAGAGUCGCAUGUUUAUGUUUGACUUGCUCCUCUGUUUCUGUGCAAGAAAAAGUCAAACUGGCCAGCUAGGAGAAAUGAAUCCCAAGCUCACUCAAGGAGCAGAUAAGUACCUCUGGUUUUGCUGGGUGCUGGCGAUACAGCAUACUUUCUGCUCUGUGUAGCAGAGUGGUGUUGGUGUUCCCUCAUCAAGGCCCC